AGAUUUACCUGGACGGGGUCUAUGGCCGAUCAAGAAGGGUCAUGGCCUAGGCUAGUGGCCCACAUUGCACUUAGUGGGUGCGCUGGCUUACCAUCUCCCCAAGUGGGAGAGUGGACGUCAUAAUUGUGGUAGGGGGAGUACGCGUUCUCGCGGCCCCUG
rnacentral:snRNA from 1 species